GGCGUCUCGACUGUUGGCGACGGUGGUCGGCGUUGUGGUGUGCUGAUGCGAGUGCUGUUAUGGCCUGUAGCGCAACAGUUUAGCUGUUAGCGGCCCUAAACCUGUGGAGUCGCCUGGUCGGCGUUCUGUAUAUGCACGCGACGUUGCUCCCGGUCCGUGUGAGCGAAUUGUUUGCUGUGCGGGCUGUCUCGCUCUUGCCUGUGGGCUGAUUAUGUGUGAGCGCUGUGGAACCGUGGGGGUAUGUAUGCAUAUUUCUCAUAGUAUGCCAUUUAACUGAAUAUAUAGCCUACCAUGCGAAAUAUUAGGGGUGCUAAAUCUUCCCCUGAAGAGACUGGGCAAUACAGCUCCAGCAGAUGGCAAUCACUUUUCGGCACAACACCUGUCACCUUUUUAUUAGCAUUUUUUUGUUAUUAUAGUAUAUUUAGUUUAUACAGUUGGCAUCUUGUUUUGUGAUUUUCAAUUUUCUGUUUUCAUCUUGGUUGGUUUGAAUUAAUUGACUUGCAUGUUUUGCUUUGUGUGGUGUUUUGAUUUAUUCUCUUUGCCAUUGUAUUUUAAAUAGUAAGCCUAUAUUGUAUUUUAAAUUAUUUGGCCCAUAUUUCUAUUAUUCAAUGGCAUGCCUUAAGUGGUAGCGUAUACGUAGUUGGUGUUCUGUUAAAUUACUUUGGUUGUCUUUAAUUAGUACUUAGUUUAAUAAAUUUAAAUGUAAAACACUC